UACGGGGGGGGCAAGCGUUGUUCGGAAUUACUGGGCGUAAAGGGCUCGUAGGCGGCCAACUAAGUCAGACGUGAAAUCCCUCGGCUUAACCGGGGAACUGCAUCUGAUACUGGAUGGCUUGAGUUCGGGAGAGGGAUGCGGAAUUCCAGGUGUAGCGGUGAAAUGCGUAGAUAUCUGGAGGAACAUCGGUGGCGAAGGCGACAUCCUGGACCGAUAUUGACGCUGAGGCGCGAAAGCCAGGGGAGCAAACGGG
rnacentral:rRNA from 1 species